rnacentral:tRNA from 1 species
AACUAAUUAGUUAUGGUAGGCUAAUAUUUUUCUGGUGAAAAUAUAUAUUUCUAAAUUAAUAUAUAAUUGGUUCGAUUCCAAUAUUAGUCU